GUGCACAAGUGAGCAACCCUUGAUGAUUUUGUUUGCUUACACCAUUUCUUCCUCUAUGUUGAGGAAGAACAGAGGUGUUCCGUGAGGCCCUGGAAGUCAAGGGAGCAGGGACGGACCAGGCUGCGGGCUGUCCUAGCUGAGGAAACCCAGGAAGAAGAAAAAAAAAAAUCUUUUCCCCCUAAGUCUCUGUUUCAGUCCUGAUGAAGGAUCCUGAUUGCUUCUGAUUAYGUCCCAUGCUGUAUCGUGAACCACUGCUAUUGCCAGGAAAAAUGUUCUUUGCUGUUGCUGAGAGCUCUUGUUGCAGGCUCUGCUUUGGAGAGGGAGCCCAGGCUGAGACAGGAGUGACUCCAGAAAGCUGACUCUCAGGCUGGAUUCCAGAACUGGUUCACUUGCCAAUCAUCCUUAGCUGGUAGUAGGGACAACUGGAGCUGACUUCAUUACCCUGCUGGAGUGGCUUCUAAAUGAAGACAGCACAUAAUAAAUGACGUGGGGAAGCUCAAACUUCCUUGGCAAAGAACUAAGAAAAGUGCCAGAAGUUCUAAGAAGAGUCCCUGUUGAGUGUCUUGCAUGUCUAGAAUGAGACUUUGAGCCUGUUGAAAAGUUGGAGAACAAUUGAAUAGAGAAUCGAUGCCAACUCUGRAAUCUCCAAGACUACGGAGUCUGUUUGGUUUGAAAUAUGGGAUUUGGAACCCACAGUAAAG